rnacentral:rRNA from 1 species
UACGGGGGGGGCAAGCGUUGUUCGGAAUUACUGGGCGUAAAGGGCUCGUAGGCGGCCAACUAAGUCAGACGUGAAAUCCCUCGGCUUAACCGGGGAACUGCAUCUGAUACUGGAUGGCUUGAGAUUGGGAGAGGGAUGCGGAAUUCCAGGUGUAGCGGUGAAAUGCGUAGAUAUCUGGAGGAACACCGGUGGCGAAGGCGGCAUCCUGGACCAACACUGACGCUGAGGAGCGAAAAGCUAGGGGGAGCAAACGGGG